GACGAACGCUGGCGGCGUGCUUAACACAUGCAAGUCGAACGGAAAGGCCCUGCUUUUGUGGGGUGCUCGAGUGGCGAACGGGUGAGUAACACGUGAGUAACCUGCCCUUGACUUUGGGAUAACUUCAGGAAACUGGGGCUAAUACCGGAUAGGAGCUCCUGCUGCAUGGUGGGGGUUGGAAAGUUUCGGCGGUUGCGGAUGGACUCGCGGCUUAUCAGUUUGUUGGUGGGGUAGUGGCUUACCAAGGCUUUGACGGGUAGCCGGCCUGAGAGGGUGACCGGCGACAUUGGGACUGAGAUACGGACCAGACUCCAACGGGAGGCAGCAGGGGGGAAUAUUGCACAAUGGGCGGAAGCCGGAUGCAGCAACGCCGCGUGCGGGAUGACGGCCUUCGGGUUGUAAACCGCUUUCGCCUGUGACGAAGCGUGAGUGACGGUAAUGGGUAAAGAAGCACCGGCUAACUACGUG
rnacentral:rRNA from 1 species